ACAGUCAAGGGUCAAGUAUUUGGAGAUGGGGCCCUUCUGAAGAAAUCAGGGAGUCUGGUUGGAAGGAGUCAAGAAUCAGGAUCCUCAGAAACGAAGCAGAAAACAUCACUGGAAGAGAAGUUAUGGUGUCUCCGCCUCCUCCCCGCUUCUCCACCCACGUCUUGGUGACAUCACCAGCACUGUGGGUCAAUUCCAGAGAACCUCUCCACUAUGUGGAGCUUCAGGAUUCAAGCUGUGUGGAGUCGGGGCCAAAGUUUCGUGUCCUUGUGCGAUGCUUAUAGCAACUGCAUGCGUGACUUUGGUGUCUGCUUCAAGCGUGCAAGGCUGCUAUGGUGGUCGAGAAGGUGUGCGUGACUGCAGAGAGCGGUGUCAACCUGGCAACCCGUGAGCACGACCAUCAGAACGUAAGCCUUUCCAUCCCUGAGGUGUUCCAGUCCUUCCAGACUUGAGCAGUGGUUUGCAGAGCUGGAGCAGUCCUUGCAAGACUGGAGAGUGGAAACAUCUCACCAUUGCCUGACCUCCAAAUACAAUGAAACAAUGUAAAGAAAAAGCUGAGGAGAUUAAAACAACAAACCUGAGAAGAUGCUCUGAGCCACUCCCUCAUCCUUAGGGACAUGCAAAUUAAAGCCUCAGGGAAAGGUCACCUCACACCCACUAGGAUGGCUACCAUCACAAGUGUUGGCAAGGCUGUGAAGACACUGCGACCCCUGUGACAGCAGUGGUGGGAAGGUAAAAUGGCGCAGCCAUUAUGUAAAACGGUAUGGUGGUUCCUCAAAAUAUUCAAAAUAGAAUUACCAUCUGCUCUAGCCAUUCCACUAGUAGGUAUAUAGACGGAAGAACUGAAAAGCAGAAUCUUGAAGAGAUAGUUGCACACCCGUGUUCCUAGCACCAUUGUAAAAAUAGCUAACAGGUGGAAACCACACAAAUGGUCAUUGACCAAUAAAUGAGUACGCCAACGGUGGUAAAUACAUACAACGGAACAUUAUUCAGCCUGAAGAGAAAGGAAAGCGGACACAGGCUACGAGGUGGACGAACCUGGAGGACAUGAUGCUAAGUGAACUAAGCCAGUCACAGGAAGACAACGACUGUGUGAUUCCACUUCUUUGAGGGCUCCAGAGUAGUCACAUUCAUAGAAACAGAAAGUAAAGUCGUGGCUGCCAGGGAGGGGAAGACAAGGAGUUGUUCAGCGGGUGAAGAGUUUAAGUUUUGCAAGAUGGAAAAGUUCUAGAGAGUGGUUGCCCCGCAACGUGACUGUACGUAAUGCCCCUGGCCUGAACACUUAGAAGUGGUUGAAAUGGGGAAAUUCGUGUUAUGCUUUUUUUACCACAAUAAAAUCUUUCUUACGUUUACGUUAAAGUUUGAUAAUACGCAAUGCUGGACAGUACAUCGAAAAAUAGGCACUUACCCCCACCCUAUAAACAGUGGAUGGGAUUUCAGUGGGUUUA